ACGCUCGACACCUACGGGAGUCAGCAGUGGGGAAUAUUGCACAAUGGGGGAAACCCUGAUGCAGCGACGCCGCGUGAGCGAAGAAGUAUUUCGGUAUGUAAAGCUCUAUCAGCAGGGAAGAAACUGACGGUACCUGACUAAGAAGCACCGGCUAAAUACGUGCCUGCAGCCGCGGUAAUCUGAGCGGGCUGGCAAGGC
rnacentral:rRNA from 1 species